ACUACUUCACUUCCUGUCUGUCCAUACAGACCUCCAGACCUCUAUGGUUAGCUGGUGGCAAGCUCCAGUCUCUGAACCCCCAGAGACAAGCUUUAUUUGUACAAGCAAGAUAUUACCACAUGCCCAGGAUCAUCUGGAAGAACCUGUGAAAGUGUCCGUGGCAGGAGUGGAAGCAGGGAAAGUGAUAAUUACUCAAAUGCCACAAACCUUACAAACCUUUGCAGGGGAGCUGAGGAGAAACAACUGACUGAAAAUCAGUAAAGGGUCCUAGGAAGCUUGGAGCAUCUGCCUGAGCCUCUCAGCCAGUCAUGUGAAGUCUUAAGUGUCUAUGCUGACUCGUUGAAGCUGAAGUCUUCUCUACAGAACAGGGUUUCUUCCUGGAAGAACCUGUGAGGACUCUACUGCCCACCACUGUUUCUCACAGUUUCUGGACCUCUGGGCCCAGAGCCCAAACCUCUCCAUAAUUCUGCACCAUCAGAAGCCUCGCCUCCCAUCCUUACUGCACUGUGUGACCCAGCCCUCCCCUGUCGAGGAAGCUUCUAGGGUUGGCAUCUCCCCAGACCUGGCUUUCUGGGGCUAGGUCACAAAGCCACUGCUGAUGCUCUACUUGAUGGCCUCGCUGUGAUCCCUGGUUGCUGCUGUUCCUGAGACAAUGAGGAUCUAGGCGGGCCUGUCCCU